GCCCGCACAUUUGCAAGCAACCUUUAGUAGAUUUUGAUAUUCUGGGAACUACCAGAAGUCCUGAGUUUUGUGAUUUCAGAGAGUGUGAAGCAUUGUAGCAUGUUAGAAGACUAGUUAGAUACAUGGGAGCUAAACCAUUUAGAGCUUUGUACAUAAGUAGCAGCAGUCUGGAGGCUAUAUAGGAUGAUGAGGUGCCACAAAUUUUGACCCAGCCAACGGCAGUAUUAUUAUUGAGGGAACAGAAGUCCUGCAAGACCUGGGUGUAUCCAGAGCCUGUGCCCUGCUAGGGCUGGUAUAUGCUCUCAACCUCAGCUACCCAAAGGAACUAAAAAAUACUUUUGAGGUGUUUCAGAAAAUAAUUCUUGAGCUGGAUGGUCUGAAAGCUAGGCCGAAGGUAAUGUCUUUAAACAAUAAACUGUUGUAUUCCUGAAAUGUUACAUGUAAAAGUUUUGUUGUGCAUACACAUACAGAAGCUGUAAUUUUGACAAUUUUUUACAUGAAGGUUACAGUGUUGUAUUUGUUUGAGACUUUAUGGCGGCUGUAGUUUAUGUGAUGAAGGUAAAA